AAGGAAUUAUCCCCUUUACUGCUAUAUAAUGUGUAUACACACGCCACACACACCACUUCUAUUAUCACAUUAAUGCUCCCUUCCUUCCUGCUAGGAUGUUCUUGACUAAGAGUGUGAAGGUUGGGACUCCAGCACAUAUCUUACCAAGCUAAGCAUCUGGGGAUGGCAGUUAUAGAAAGGGACACAGAACCCUGCAGUGAUGUCAAAAUUACCGGAGAUCAGAGUUUCAAGAGGAGGAAUGACAAAAUGACCAUAAAAAAGUAAACAAAAUACAUCUAGGGGACCAAACGGAAACCAGAAACAUCUCAAACUCUGACAACCUAUAACUCGGAGACUGUACUGAAAGGCCAUCUGGGUGCUAGGAUCACAGAAAGCUGGACUCGAGCUUGAAUCACUUCUGUCAUUGGUCACUGGCAAAUUAUGUAACUGCUGUAAAGUGAGGAUAACAUUAUAAUGCUGUUUUAUGAUUUUUAUUGUUUAC